CGGGAGAUAGCUGGUUCUCCCCGAAAGCUAUUUAGGUAGCGCCUCGUGAAUUCAUCUCCGGGGGUAGAGCACUGUUUCGGCAAGGGGGUCAUCCCGACUUACCAACCCGAUGCAAACUGCGAAUACCGGAGAAUGUUAUCACGGGAGACACACGGCGGGUGCUAACGUCCGUCGUGAAGAGGGAAACAACCCAGACCGCCAGCUAAGGUCCCAAAGUCAUGGUUAAGUGGGAAACGAUGUGGGAAGGCCCAGACAGCCAGGAUGUUGGCUUAGAAGCAGCCAUCAUUUAAAGAAAGCGUAAUAGCUCACUGGUCGAGUCGGCCUGCGCGGAAGAUGUAACGGGGCUAAACCAUGCACCGAAGCUGCGGCAGCGACGCUGAUGCGUUGUUGGGUAGGGGAGCGUUCUGUAAGCCUGUGAAGGUGUGCUGUGAGGCAUGCUGGAGGUAUCAGAAGUGCGAAUGCUGACAUAAGUAACGAUAAAGCGGGUGAAAAGCCCGCUCGCCGGAAGACCAAGGGUUCCUGUCCAACGUUAAUCGGGGCAGGGUGAGUCGACCCCUAAGGCGAGGCCGAAAGGCGUAGUCGAUGGGAAACAGGUUAAUAUUCCUGUACUUGGUGUUACUGCGAAGGGGGGACGGAGAAGGCUAUGUUGGCCGGGCGACGGUUGUCCCGGUUUAAGCGUGUAGGCUGGUUUUCCAGGCAAAUCCGGAAAAUCAAGGCUGAGGCGUGAUGACGAGGCACUACGGUGCUGAAGCAACAAAUGCCCUGCUUCCAGGAAAAGCCUCUAAGCAUCAGGUAACAUCAAAUCGUACCCCAAACCGACACAGGUGGUCAGGUAGAGAAUACCAAGGCGCUUGAGAGAACUCGGGUGAAGGAACUAGGCAAAAUGGUGCCGUAACUUCGGGAGAAGGCACGCUGAUAUGUAGGUGAAGCGACUUGCUCGUGGAGCUGAAAUCAGUCGAAGAUACCAGCUGGCUGCAACUGUUUAUUAAAAACACAGCACUGUGCAAACACGAAAGUGGACGUAUACGGUGUGACGCCUGCCCGGUGCCGGAAGGUUAAUUGAUGGGGUCAGCGCAAGCGAAGCUCUUGAUCGAAGCCCCGGUAAACGGCGGCCGUAACUAUAACGGUCCUAAGGUAGCGAAAUUCCUUGUCGGGUAAGUUCCGACCUGCACGAAUGGCGUAAUGAUGGCCAGGCUGUCUCCACCCGAGACUCAGUGAAAUUGAACUCGCUGUGAAGAUGCAGUGUACCCGCGGCAAGACGGAAAGACCCCGUGAACCUUUACUAUAGCUUGACACUGAACAUUGAGCCUUGAUGUGUAGGAUAGGUGGGAGGCUUUGAAGUGUGGACGCCAGUCUGCAUGGAGCCGGCCUUGAAAUACCACCCUUUAAUGUUUGAUGUUCUAACGUUGACCCGU
rnacentral:rRNA from 1 species